GAUGAACGCUAGCGAUAGGCUUAACACAUGCAAGUCGAGGGGUAACGUGUUGGAAGCUUGCUUCCGAUGACGACGACCGGCGGAUGGGUGCGUAACGCGUAUGCAACUUGCCUCACAGUGGAGAAUAACCCGGAGAAAUCCGGACUAAUGUUCCAUACACUCUUAAGUACGCCUGUACAUGAGAGGAAAGAUUUAUCGCUGUGAGAUAGGCAUGCGUCCUAUUAGGUAGUUGGUGAGGUAACGGCUCACCAAGCCGACGAUAGGUAGGGGUGCUGAGAGGCAGAUCCCCCACAUUGGGACUGAGACACGGCCCAAACUUCUACGGGAGGCAGCAGUGAGGAAUAUUGGUCAAUGGAGGAAACUCUGAACCAGCCAAGUCGCGUGAAGGAAGAAUGUCCUAAGGAUUGUAAACUUCUUUAGCGAGCGAGUAAGGACUUCCACGUGAUGGGAGUUUGAAAGUAGCUCGAGAAUAAGUAUCGGCUAACUCCGUGCCAGCAGCCGCGGUAAUACGGAGGAUACGAGCGUUAUCCGGAUUUAUUGGGUUUAAAGGGUGCGCAAGUGGUCUUGCAGUCAGUGGUGAAAAGCUGAGGCUCAACCUCAGCCUUGCCGUUGAAACUGUAAGACUUGAGAGUACAUGAUGUGGGCGGAAUGCGUAGUGUAGCGGUGAAAUGCAUAGAUAUUACGCAGAACUCCGAUUGCGAAGGCAGCUCACAAAGGUAUAUCUGACACUGAGGCACGAAAGCGUGGGGAGCGAACAGGAUUAGAUACCCUGGUAGUCCACGCCGUAAACGAUGAUUACUCGAAGUAUGCGAUAUGACAGUAUGCUUCCAAGCGAAAGUGAUAAGUAAUCCACCUGGGGAGUACGCCGGCAACGGUGAAACUCAAAGGAAUUGACGGGGGCCCGCACAAGCGGAGGAACAUGUGGUUUAAUUCGAUGAUGCGCGAGGAACCUUACCCGGGAUUGAAAUGUAUGUGAGCCUUUUGGGAAACCGAGAGGGUUCUCUUCGGAGACACAUAUGUAGGUGCUGCAUGGUUGUCGUCAGCUCGUGCCGUGAGGUGCCGGCUUAAGUGCCAUAACGAGCGCAACCCUUAUCGUCAGUUACUAACAGGUCAAGCUGAGGACUCUGGCGAGACUGCCGUCGUAAGGCGAGAGGAAGGUGGGGAUGACGUCAAAUCAGCACGGCCCUUACAUCCGGGGCGACACACGUGUUACAAUGGUAGGGACAGAGAGUAGCCACUCGGUGACGAGGAGCGGAUCUUGAAACCCUAUCUCAGUUCGGAUCGGAGUCUGCAACUCGACUCCGUGAAGCCGGAUUCGCUAGUAAUCGCGCAUCAGCCAUGGCGCGGUGAAUACGUUCCCGGGCCU
rnacentral:rRNA from 1 species